CCUACGGGAGGCAGCAGUGGGGAAUAUUGCACAAUGGGGGAAACCCUGAUGCAGCAACGCCGCGUGAAGGAAGACGGUUUUCGGAUUGUAAACUUCUGUUCUUAGUGAAGAAUAAUGACGGUAGCUAAGGAGCAAGCCACGGCUAACUACGUGCCAGCAGCCGCGGUAAUACGUAGGUGGCAAGCGUUGUCCGGAAUUACUGGGUGUAAAGGGAGCGCAGGCGGGAAGCCAAGUCAGCUGUGAAAACUACGGGCUUAACUUGUAGACUGCAGUUGAAACUGGUUUUCUUGAGUGAAGUAGAGGUUGGCGGAAUUCCGAGUGUAGCGGUGAAAUGCGUAGAUAUUCGGAGGAACACCGGUGGCGAAGGCGGCCAACUGGGCUUUAACUGACGCUGAGGCUCGAAAGUGUGGGGAGCAAACAGGAUUAGAUACCCCAGUAGUC
rnacentral:rRNA from 1 species